UACGGAGGGAGCUAGCGUUGUUCGGAAUUACUGGGCGUAAAGCGUACGUAGGCGGUUAUUCAAGUCAGAGGUGAAAGCCCGGGGCUCAACCCCGGAACUGCCUUUGAAACUAGAUAGCUAGAAUCUUGGAGAGGUCAGUGGAAUUCCGAGUGUAGAGGUAGAAAUUCGUAGAUAUUCGGAAGAACACCAGUGGCGAAGGCGACUGACUGGACAAGUAUUGACGCUGAGGUACGAAAGCGUGGGGAGCAAACAGG
rnacentral:rRNA from 1 species